rnacentral:lncRNA from 1 species
CGCUCACAUUUAUGGCCGCGACCGCCGCUUCUGGAGGCGGCAGCUCCGCGUCGGCUUCCAGCUCCUGUGCCGCCGGGCCGCCGAGGAGAUCCUGGCCCUGCGCUGACGUCCCCAAGGUCCCCGGGGUGUCCCCAAGGUCAUCAGGAUGUCCCCAAGGUCAUCGGGACGUCCCUGCACUCCUCAAGAUGUCCCCAUGGAUCUCAAGAUGUCCCCAUGGUCAUCAGGAUGUCCUUGUGGUCCUCAAGAUGUCCCCAUGGAACUCAGGAUGUCCCCAAGGUCCUCAAGAUGUCCCCAAGGUCAUCGGGACGUCCUCAUGGUUCUCAGGAUGUCCUCGUGGUCCUCAAGAUGUCCCCAUGGAACUCAGGAUGUCCCCAAGGUCAUCGGGACGUCCCUGCACUCCUCAAGAUGUCCCCAUGGUCCUCAAGACAUCCCGAAGGUCAUCGGGAUGUCCCCUGCGCUCCUCAAGAUGUCCCCAAGGUCAUCAGGAUGUCCCCAAGGUCAUCAGGACAUCCUCAUGGUCCUCAGGAUGUCAUCAUGGUCCUCAAGAUGUCCCCAAGUUCAUCGGGACGUCCCUGCACUCCUCAAGAUGUCCCCAUGGACCUCAAGAUGUCCCCAAGGUCAUCGGGACAUCCCUGCGCUCCUCAAGAUGUCCCCAAGGUCCUCAAGAUGUCCCCAAGGUCAUCGGGACGUCCUCGUGGUCCUCAGGAUGUCAUCAUGGUCCUCAAGAUGUCCCCAUGGAACUCAGGAUGUCCCCUGUGCUCCUCAAGAUGUCCCCAAGGUCAUCAGGAUGUCCUCGUGCUCCUCAAGAUGUCCCCAUGGAACUCAGGAGGUUCCCUGUGCUCCUCAAGAUGUCCCCAAGGUCCUCAAGAUGUCCCCAAGGUCAUUGGGACGUCCCUGUGGUCCUCAAGAUGUCCCCAAGGUCAUCAGGACGUCCCCUGUGCUCCUCAAGAUGUCCCCAAGGUCCUCAAGAUGUCCCCAUGGUCAUCAGGAUGUCCUCGUGGUCCUCAAGAUGUCCCCAAGGUCAUCAGGACGUCUCUGUGGUCCUCAAGAUGUCACCAUGGUCCUCAAGAUGUCACCAAGGUCAUCAGGACAUUCCUGUGGUCCUCAAGAUGUCCUCGUGGUCCUCAAGAUGUCCCCAGUGUCAUCGGGACGUCCCUGUGCUCCUCAAGGGAUUCCCAUCAUCUCCAGGACGUCCCUGUGGUCCUCAGAUGUCCCCAAGUUCUCCAGGAUGUCCCCAUGGUCCCCAAGAUGGCCCCAUGUUCUUCAGGACGUCCCCAAGAUGUCCCCAAGGCCACCAGGACGUCCCCAUGCUCCCCAAGAUGUCCCCAAGUUCUUCAGGAUGUCCUCAAGGCCACCAAGAUGUCCCCAUGGUCUCCAAGAUGUCCCCAAAAUCUUCAGGACAUCCCCAAGAUGUCCCCAAGGCCACCAGGACAUCUCCAUGGUCCCCAAGACGUCCCCAAGUUCUCCAGGAUGUCCCCAAGAUCUUCAGGAAGUCCCCAAGAUGUCCCCAAGGCCACCAGGAUGUCCGCAUGGUCCCCAAGAUGUCCCCAAAAUCUUCAGGACGUCCCCAAGGCCACCAGGAUGUCCUCAGUUGUCCCCAAGUUCUCCAGGAUGACCCCAAGAUGUCCCCAAGGCCACCAGGACGUCCCCAAGAUGUCCCCAAGCUCUCGGGGACACCCCCGAGGUUUUUAAUUGUUUAAUUGCGUUUUUCUGAACGGUCCAAUUAAUAAAUGGCAACGAUUUAUUGAUAUUUUUUUUAAU